UACAGAGGUCUCAAGCGUUGUUCGGAUUCACUGGGCGUAAAGGGUGCGUAGGUGGCGGGGCAAGUCAGGUGUGAAAUCUCGGGGCUCAACCCCGAAACUGCACUUGAUACUGCCCUGCUCGAGUACUGGAGAGGAGAUUGGAAUUUACGGUGUAGCAGUGAAAUGCGUAGAUAUCGUAAGGAAGACCAGUGGCGAAGGCGAAUCUCUGGACAGUUACUGACACUGAGGCACGAAGGCCAGGGGAGCAAACGGG
rnacentral:rRNA from 1 species